UACGUAGGGGCCGAGCGUUGUCCGGAGUUACUGGGCGUAAAGCGCGCGCAGGCGGCUCGUCAAGCCUGACGUGAAAGCCCCCGGCUCAACCGGGGAGGGUCGUCGGGGACUGGCGGGCUUGAGGUCGGCAGGGGUUGGUGGAAUUCCCGGUGUAGUGGUGAAAUGCGUAGAGAUCGGGAGGAACACCGGUGGCGAAGGCGGCAUCCUGGACCGACACUGACACUGAGGAGCGAAAGCCAGGGGAGCAAACGGG
rnacentral:rRNA from 1 species